CAAUCAUCAUCCCGCCGGGUCCUGCCCGGCGGAGUUGGAAUUGGGCGCUGCCAUCCCGGCUCGCCUCAAAUGCAUCGGUGGCACACCUUGCCCACUGGUCGGCGUAAUACGUUUCGUCGCGACGUGGAACGGGGAGCUUCCUUGAAACCGCCCCUCGGGGAAUGUAC
rnacentral:misc_RNA from 1 species